CGCGGCCUAUCAGCUUGUUGGAGAGGUAACGGCUCACCAAGGCAUCGACGGGUAGCUGGUCUGAGAGGAUGAUCAGCCACACUGGAACUGAGACACGGUCCAGACUCCUACGGGAGGCAGCAGUGGGGAAUCUUGCACAAUGGGCGCAAGCCUGAUGCAGCAACGCCGCGUGCGGGAAGACGGCCCUAGGGUUGUAAACCGCUUUCAGGAGGGAAGAAAAUGACGGUACCUCCAGAAGAAGGUGCGGCCAACUACGUGCCAGCAGCCGCGGUGACACGUAGGCACCAAGCGUUAUCCGGAUUUAUUGGGCGUAAAGAGCUCGUAGGCGGUUCGGUAAGUCGGGUGUGAAAAUCCAAGGCUCAACCUUGGGACGCCACCCGAUACUGCUGUGACUAGAGUGCAGUAGGGGAGCAGGGAAUUCCUGGUGUAGCGGUGAAAUGCGCAGAUAUCAGGAGGAACACCAGUGGCGAAGGCGCUGCUCUGGGCUGUAACUGACGCUGAGGAGCGAAAGCAUGGGUAGCAAACAGGAUUAGAUACCCUGGUAGUCCAUGCCGUAAACGUUGGGCACUAGGUGUGGGUCUCAACCAACGAGAUCCGCGCCGUCGCUAACGCAUUAAGUGCCCCGCCUGGGGAGUACGG
rnacentral:rRNA from 2 species